rnacentral:pre_miRNA from 1 species
AAGGAGCGUGUGGCGUAGUAACGCGAGGCGGCGUUACAAAGCACACCUCCUUUA